rnacentral:rRNA from 1 species
AUUGAACGCUGGCGGCAGGCCUAACACAUGCAAGUCGAGCGGGGAAGGGUAGCUUGCUACCUGACCUAGCGGCGGACGGGUGAGUAAUGCUUAGGAAUCUGCCUAUUAGUGGGGGACAACAUUCCGAAAGGAAUGCUAAUACCGCAUACGCCCUACGGGGGAAAGCAGGGGAUCUUCGGACCUUGCGCUAAUAGAUGAGCCUAAGUCAGAUUAGCUAGUUGGUGGGGUAAAGGCCUACCAAGGCGACGAUCUGUAGCGGGUCUGAGAGGAUGAUCCGCCACACUGGGACUGAGACACGGCCCAGACUCCUACGGGAGGCAGCAGUGGGGAAUAUUGGACAAUGGGCGCAAGCCUGAUCCAGCCAUGCCGCGUGUGUGAAGAAGGCCUUUUGGUUGCAAAGCACUUUAAGCGAGGAGGAGGCUACUUGGAUUAAUACUCUAGGAUAGUGGACGUUACUCGCAGAAUAAGCACCGGCUAACUCUGUGCCAGCAGCCGCGGUAAUACAGAGGGUGCGAGCGUUAAUCGGAUUUACUGGGCGUAAAGCGUGCGUAGGCGGCUUUUUAAGUCGGAUGUGAAAUCCCUGAGCUUAACUUAGGAAUUGCAUUCGAUACUGGGAAGCUAGAGUAUGGGAGAGGAUGGUAGAAUUCCAGGUGUAGCGGUGAAAUGCGUAGAGAUCUGGAGGAAUACCGAUGGCGAAGGCAGCCUUCUGGCCUAAUACUGACGCUGAGUACGAAAGCAUGGGGAGCAAACAGG